rnacentral:rRNA from 1 species
AGAGUUUGAUCCUGGCUCAGGAUGAACGCUAGCUACAGGCUUAACACAUGCAAGUCGAGGGGCAGCAUUAAGGAAGCUUGCUUAUUUAGAUGGCGACCGGCGCACGGGUGAGUAACGCGUAUCCAACCUGCCCCCUACCCGGGGAUAGCCUUGCGAAAGUAAGAUUAAUACCCGGUGCAGUUAUGAUUCCGCAUGGGAAUAUAACGAAAGAUUCAUCGGUAGGGGAUGGGGAUGCGUCCGAUUAGCUUGUUGGCGGGGUAACGGCCCACCAAGGCGACGAUCGGUAGGGGUUCUGAGAGGAAGGUCCCCCACAUUGGAACUGAGACACGGUCCAAACUCCUACGGGAGGCAGCAGUGAGGAAUAUUGGUCAAUGGGCGAGAGCCUGAACCAGCCAAGUAGCGUGAAGGAAGACUGCCCUACGGGUUGUAAACUUCUUUUGUACGGGAAUAAAGUGGGCCACGUGUGGCUUUUUGCAUGUACCGUACGAAUAAGGACCGGCUAAUUCCGUGCCAGCAGCCGCGGUAAUACGGAAGGUCCGAGCGUUAUCCGGAUUUAUUGGGUUUAAAGGGAGCGCAGGCGGAAUGUUAAGUCAGCUGUGAAAUCCCGUCGCUCAACGGCGGAACUGCAGUUGAUACUGGCUUUCUUGAGUGCACAUAAGGAUGGUGGAAUUCGUGGUGUAGCGGUGAAAUGCUUAGAUAUCACGAAGAACUCCGAUUGCGAAGGCAGCCAUCUGGGGUGCAACUGACGCUGAGGCUCGAAAGUGCGGGUAUCAAACAGGAUUAGAUACCCUGGUAGUCCGCACAGUAAACGAUGAAUACUCGCUGUCGGCGAUAUACAGUCGGCGGCCAAGCGAAAGCAUUAAGUAUUCCACCUGGGGAGUACGCCGGCCACGGUGAAACUCAAAGGAAUUGACGGGGGCCCGCACAAGCGGAGGAACAUGUGGUUUAAUUCGAUGAUACGCGAGGAACCUUACCCGGGCUUGAACUGCACCCGACGGACARAGAGAUUUGUCUUCCGCAAGGCGGGUGUGGAGGUGCUGCAUGGUUGUCGUCAGCUCGUGCCGUGAGGUGUCGGCUUAAGUGCCAUAACGAGCGCAACCCUUCUCUUCAGUUGCCAUCAGGUUAGGCUGGGCACUCUGGAGACACUGCCAUCGUAAGAUGCGAGGAAGGUGGGGAUGACGUCAAAUCAGCACGGCCCUUACGUCCGGGGCUACACACGUGUUACAAUGGGAGGUACAGAAGGCCGCGACCCGGCGACGGGAAGCCAAUCCCCAAAUCCUCUCUCAGUUCGGACUGGAGUCUGCAACCCGACUCCACGAAGCUGGAUUCGCUAGUAAUCGCGCAUCAGCCAUGGCGCGGUGAAUACGUUCCCGGGCCUUGUACACACCGCCCGUCAAGCCAUGAAAGCCGGGGGUACCUGAAGUCCGUAACCGCAAGGAGCGGCCUAGGGUAAAACUGGUAAUUGGGGCUAAGUCGUAACAAGGUAACC